UGGGAUCCCUCCUCGGACGGCGAGGAAAGGGAUCACUGACAUCCUGGCUGGCCUCACCAGGAAUGCCCGACCCUGAUGAAGUAGCUUCCGCUUGUUGUUUACCUUUUGUUGUUUCCUUUUGAACCAUGUAAAACUCUGAUCUCGUGUUGUUGUUGAACUAAAUGGCCAAAUUUUUUUAACUUAGUGGACUUGUUGUAUUCUCUGAAACCGC
rnacentral:lncRNA from 1 species